rnacentral:rRNA from 1 species
AUGAAUAGUACAACACCUGCGAUCUUGAGUUGGAAUGUACGAGGGUUGAAUUCGCCGGCGAAAAGAACUGCAGUGCGUCAAGUUGCAGAAGCGCAACACGUAUCCAUCCUUUGUCUUCAGGAAACCAAGCUGGAAAGUUGGUAGCAGUCCACUGUCAGGGAGCUAGGAGGAAACGCAUUAGAAGGAUGCGCUGUUCUUCCAGCCAUGGGCACUAGAGGAGGAGUC